rfam:Heterocephalus glaber contig230049, whole genome shotgun sequence.
GGAUAUGAGGGUGAUCUGGCAGUGACAUCUGUCCCCCACUCAUCAGAUCAACAGGGUGGAUCUGACUGAUCUGCUGGUGACUAGGCCAGUAUCCCCUUCCUCCCUCACAGCUCUGUUUGCAUCCCUCCCUCACUUGGACAGUGAGAACAACCUUCCCAGACAGAGGAAGGUCGUCCUCAGUCAAGGGUAUAUGAUUCGCUGGGCUCCCCUGCUAGAACCACCAAACAAAUUCUCAAAAUAAAAAAAUUUAAAAAGGGCUGGGCAUGUAGUAUGAAGGCCCUGGGUUCAAUCCCUAGUACUAGG